GGUACUAGAAUACAAAACAGUAUUUGUUUAGAUCAGGGGUCAGCAACCUGCGGCUCUGGAGCCGCAUGUGGCUCUUUCAUCUCUCUGCUGUGGCUCCCUGUCACUCAACUGCCAAUGUGCGACACCUACCGAGCCUGCUUGUUUUGCACUGUGCUCGCUGGGGGGGACGAAGAGCAGAGCUGUCAGUGCGUGAUACAACGAAGAGUUCUCUUUUCCAGCCAGUUUGUCACAGACCCAAAUGCUGAUUUGACCUGACAAGGAGUGACAGGCCCAAGGUCAGCCAGAUGGCUUCUGUGCCUGAAAGGACAACUAGAAUCUGGGUCUCACCGCUCCAUUCUACUACCCCAUGCUGGCUCUUUAUACUUGAAAGAGGCGAUGCUAACACCAUUCUGGAUAUUGUUAUGUAUUUUGUCAUGUAAACCAUUACAUGGGAUUGGCUGUAGACCUGGCAGACUGUGGUUUCAUCAGUUUCUUUCUCAUUCUGUUCUGGAUUAUUAAAAACCGCAACAAAGCA